GGGUUCCGGUAGUGAUCGAGGGAAAUUAGUACCGAAGUCCGGGAUGGAAGAUGGCGAGAAAAGCUGUGUGUAUUUCUGCGGUGCCCGUACCGCAAACCGACACAGGUAGGUAGGAAGAAGAUUCUAAGGCCAACGGGAGAAGGGUUGUUAAGGAACUCGGCAAAUUGACCCCGUAACUUCGGGAGAAGGGGUGCUCCAGAGAUGGAGCCGCAGAGAAUCGGCCCAAGCAACUGUUUACCAAAAACACAGGUUUGUGCUAAAUCGAAAGAUGACGUAUACGAGCUGACGCCUGCCCGGUGCUGGAAGGUUAAGAGGAGAUGUGCAAGCAUUGAAUCGAAGCCCCAGUGAACGGCGGCCGUAACUAUAACGGUCCUAAGGUAGCGAAAUUCCUUGUCAGGUAAGUUCUGACCCGCAUGAAAGGCGUAAUGAUUUGGGCACUGUCUCGACAGCCCGCCCGGCGAAAUUGUAGUACCGGUGAAGAUGCCGGUUACCCGCGACAAGACGGAAAGACCCCAUGGAGCUUUACUGUAGCCUAAUAUUGGGUUUCGAUGUUGCAUGCACAGGAUAGAUGGGACACUAGGAAGCAAGUGCUUUGGCAUUUGUGGAGCGGCCGUUGGGAUACCAUCCUUGCGAUAUUGGAAUUCUAACCUGCGCCUUUGAAUCAAGGCGGGGGACAUUGUUAGGUGGGCAGUUUGACUGGGGCGGUCGCCUCCUAAAGAGUAACGGAGGCGUUCAAAGGUUCGCUCAGCUUGAACGGAAAUCAAGCAAAAGAGUGCAAACGCAGAAGCGAGCCUAACUGCGAGACUGACGGGUCGAGCAGUAACGAAAGCUGGAGUUAGUGAUCCGGUGGUAUGUGAGUGGAAAUGCCAUCGCUCAACGGAUAAAAGUUACCCUGGGGAUAACAGGCUGAUCUCCCCCAAGAUUCCACAUCGACGGGGAGGUUUGGCACCUCGAUGUCGGCUCAUCGCAUCCUGGGGCUGUAUUCGGUCCCAAGGGUUUGGCUGUUCGCCAAUUAAAGCGGUACGCGAGCUGGGUUCAGAACGUCGUGAGACAGUUCGGUCCCUAUCUGUCGUGGGCGCAGGAUAUUUGAUGGGAGCUGUUCCUAGUACGAGAGGACCGGAGCGGACGUACCCCUGGCGCACCAGUUGUUCUGCCAAGGGCAUAGCUGGGCAACUAUGUACGGAUCGGAUAAACGCUGAAAGCAUCUAAGCGUGAAGCCGACCCAAAGAUAAGAUAUCCCAUUGUUUCAAACAAGUAAGACCCCUUGAAGACUACAAGGUUGAUAGGCAUGAUGUGUAAGUGGAGUGAUCCAUUCAGCAAGCAUGUACUAAUAGGUCGAGGGCUUGACC
rnacentral:rRNA from 1 species